AUACGUAGGGAGCGAGCGUUGUCCGGAAUUACUGGGUGUAAAGGGAGCGUAGGCGGGACUGCAAGUCAGAUGUGAAAUACCGGGGCUUAACCCCGGAGCUGCAUUUGAAACUGUGGUUCUUGAGUGAAGUAGAGGCAAGCGGAAUUCCUGGUGUAGCGGUGAAAUGCGUAGAUAUCAGGAGGAACACCGGUGGCGAAGGCGGCUUGCUGGGCUUUUACUGACGCUGAGGCUCGAAAGCGUGGGUAGCAAACAGGAUUAGAUACCCUGGUAGUCCACGCUGUAAACGAUGAUUACUAGGUGUGGGGGGACUGACCCCUUCCGUGCCGCAGUUAACACAAUAAGUAAUCCACCUGGGGAGUACGGCCGCAAGGUUGAAACUCAAAUGAAUUGGCGGGG
rnacentral:rRNA from 1 species